UACAGAGGGUGCAAGCGUUGUUCGGAAUUACUGGGCGUAAAGCGCACGUAGGCGGCUUUGUAAGUUAGAGGUGAAAGCCCGGGGCUCAACUCCGGAAUUGCCUUUAAGACUGCAUCGCUAGAAUUGUGGAGAGGUGAGUGGAAUUCCGAGUGUAGAGGUGAAAUUCGUAGAUAUUCGGAAGAACACCAGUGGCGAAGGCGACUCACUGGACACAUAUUGACGCUGAGGUGCGAAAGCGUGGGGAGCAAACAGG
rnacentral:rRNA from 1 species